rnacentral:lncRNA from 1 species
GAAACUUUCAAUCCCGAAGAUUGAAUAUUGACUCCUCGUAGUUGUCGUGUGUUUAUUGAAGUACUACGGUUAUUUGAUUUUUGAUUUGUUAUUGAUUCAAGACCGAAUCAAUUCGUUUGGUAAUGAUAUUGGUUGUUGAAAAUGUAUUUGUUAUUAAAUUUCGCCGGUAGUCGUCGAUCUCGUAUUUUGUCUUAAGGGAUUUAUUUGAUAUGCUAGUUCACCAUAAACAGAGCUCUGAUACCAACCUGUCACACCCCCGAACCAGACGGCGGAAACGUCCAAGGGCUCUUGUGACUUAAAUUGAAUACCAUCACAAUGAUUAUACACGAAUCAUAACAUCAUUCAUCACCAUGCAUUGAAAUAUUACAACCGAUAUUGUUUACAUUCAGUACAUUGUUUUAACAUUACAAUUUCAUAACAUAAACCGUUUGAUCAUUAAUCUAAGCAAAACACCAUGAUAUAACUUGAUACAUAUUCUUCUGUUUACCUGUUACCUGAGAAUACAAGUUAUUUUGAAAACGGUCAACAUAUGAAAUGUUGGUGAGUUCAUAAGUAAUGUUAUGGAAAAUGAUUUUUUUGUGAAGUUUGAAAACCCAGAAAAUCCGAUAUUUUCUGAAAAGAGUAUUGUUUAUAAAAAGUGUGAAGAUCCGUAAGUAUGCUUGUCGAUUUUGAAAACAUGUAUAAUUGUUGAAUUUUGUAUACAUCAUGUAGGUAAAAGUGUUGAACUCCCCGGGAAAACCCGAUGUUUUCCCAAUGCGUAAAUUACUUGACUUGUUUAUUGUUAUACCGAUACUACGAUUGUUUUUUGUUACCCAGGUAACAUUGGAUUAAUUAAGGGUUGUGAGUUGUUACAAUCACGCAUUAUUGAAAAUGACUAGUUUGUAACUACAAAUUAUGAACGAUCCUUGAGGCGUCGUCCAUACUACUCACAUAAUCGAACCACCCUGACUUCUCUUGUUUAACAUCACGAAUCUGCUUAUUCGGUUUCUCAUAGCCCCACAAUCGAGGAGAAAGGAGGGUAAGAAGCCUCCUUUAUUUCCAUAAGUCAUUCAAGGCUAUUGGGAAUGCGAAAGGCACUUGGCCCGACUCGUAUUUGACUUCUCGACUUCGCUAGCAGUACUAAUGGACCCUUGGGGCCCAACAACACAAUAGAGCUAUUGAAAGUCCUUUUACAUGGAAUAAGAUCAUAGAAGGCCCAUUAACAUGUAAGCGCGUCCCCUUCAGGCCUAAAGAUCAUGUUAUUGGGAUAGGAAGGCCCAAGAAGCACAAUUUGAAACUUUCAAUCCCAAAGAUUGAAAAUUGACUCCUCGUAGUUAUCGCGUGUUUAUUGAAGGACUACGGUUAUUUGAUUUUUGUUUUGUUAUUGAUUCGAGACCGAANNNNNNNNNNNNNNNNNNNNNNNNNNNNNNNNNNNNNNNNNNNNNNNNNNNNNNNNNNNNNNNNNNNNNNNNNNNNNNNNNNNNNNNNNNNNNNNNNNNNUAGAGUCGGGGUACAUAGCAUAGAUCCUAAUGACCUAGUAAGAUAGGUCUAUCCCUAGUCGCGGUGAGUUGUGCCCGGGGGUGGUGCUGAGGAAGUGGAUGCUCCCUAAAGACGAGCCACCUGUCGUUCUGCGUCCUGGAGUCGAGACUCCCACCUCACCUGCCUCAUAUGGAACUCUCGAAGAACGUCUCGUGUCUCCUGCUCUGCACGCUCGACCCUAGUCCACAUCUGGCGUACUUGGUCGGCGGUGCUCUGAGCUAUGUCGCCGGUGUUCCGUAACCGUUUCACCAUGACCGGAAGGGCUCGAUCGGCCGGUCCUCCGUCCCUCAGGUCAAAGAACUCGCGUGACAUGCCGAACGGGGGUCGCUGUCCCUGCUGUCUGCUCCGCCUCCAAAGAUCAAUACUCCAAAGGGGUGUAGGACCAGUGGGGCCCACCCGGUAAGCGGGCACCCUAAUCGGGUAAGGGGGGUUGAUGACUUCGGACUCCGCGUCCGAAUCACCCCCUUCAUUAUCGCCGGGUUCCUUCUCAGAGAUUCCUUCAUCUUCUUCCUCCUCCUGUUCUUCUUCUGGUUCGACAGGCUCGCCCUCGACGUCUGCCUCCGGUUCCCCGUCAGAUUCCUCCUCGGGGUUUUCCUCAGGCUCUUCUUCAGGAUCUUCAUCUAACCAUUUGUUAUUUCCCUGGUUAGGGAAGUAAGGAUCUUCGGGGUGAUGGAAACCAGCCAUGCUGUCUGUGAGAGUGCGUAAAUAUGCUAACAUUAUUCCUAAGACGCUAAAACUAUUGUAUAGAUUGAACGGAUGUUCUCUUCUUGGAGUAAAGGGGUAUAUUUUUAGGUUUCCUAGCUAUCACGAUCUCUUCAGGAAAUGUGAUAGUUGUACCUUGGAGGAAAUAUAGUUGAUAAGGCUACAUCCACUCCUUGAUACGACUAAGAACAGUCCUGGCUUAACCGAGAUACUAGCAUUAUCUUGUUUAGUUCGGUAUUAUGUUCUUUUUCCUAAUACAAGCAAGGAUGUUUUUAUUGUUAUGUUUCACUUGUUUUGUUCAGAGUUGUGUUAGUCCCUCUUUUUGGUUUAUAGUCGCAUAUCAAUGUGUGGUUAGAUAUGCUAGUUCACUAUAAACAGAGCUCUGAUACCAACCUGUCACACCCCCGAACCAGACGGCGGAAACGUCCGAGGGCUCUUGUGACUUAAUUGAAUACCAUCACAAUGAUUAUACAUGAAUCAUAACAUCAUUCAUCACCAUGCAUUGAAAUAUUACAACUGAUAUUGUUUACAUUCAGUACAUUGUUUUAACAUUACAAUUUCAUAACAUAAACCGUCUGAUCAUUAAUCUAAGCAAAACACCAUGACAUAACUUGAUACAUAUUCUUCCGUUUACCUGUUACCUGAGAAUACAAGUUAUUUUGAAAACGGUCAACAUAUGAAAUGUUGGUGAGUUCAUAAGUAAUGUUAUGGAAAAUGAUUUUUUUGUGAAGUUUGAAAACCCAGAAAAUCCGAUAUUUUCUGAAAAGAGUAUUGUUUAUAAAAAGUGUGAAGAUCCAUAAGUAUGCUUGUCGAUUUUGAAAACAUGUAUAAUUGUUGAACUUUGUAUACAUCACGUAGGUAAAAGUGUUGAACUCCCCGGGAAAACCCGAUGUUUUCCCAAUGCGUAAAUUACUUGACUUGUUUAUUGUUAUACCGAU